rnacentral:misc_RNA from 1 species
CAACCCUCAAGCCCUGCUUGGUGUUGGGCCGGGCCCGUCGCGGCCGGCCCUAAAGACAGUGGCGGCGCCGCUCGGCUCUCAGCGUAGUACACCCCUCGCUGCGGUCCCGGGCGGCUGCCCGCCAGAACCCCGACUCUGU